rnacentral:rRNA from 1 species
ACUCCUACGGGAGGCAGCAGUGGGGAAUAUUGGACAAUGGGCGCAAGCCUGAUCCAGCCAUGCCGCGUGAGUGAUGAAGGCCCUAGGGUUGUAAAGCUCUUUCACCGGUGAAGAUAAUGACGGUAACCGGAGAAGAAGCCCCGGCUAACUUCGUGCCAGCAGCCGCGGUAAUACGAAGGGGGCUAGCGUUGUUCGGAUUUACUGGGCGUAAAGCGCACGUAGGCGGACUAUUAAGUCAGGGGUGAAAUCCCGGGGCUCAACCCCGGAACUGCCUUUGAUACUGGUAGUCUUGAGUUCGAGAGAGGUGAGUGGAAUUCCGAGUGUAGAGGUGAAAUUCGUAGAUAUUCGGAGGAACACCAGUGGCGAAGGCGGCUCACUGGCUCGAUACUGACGCUGAGGUGCGAAAGCGUGGGGAGCAAACAGGAUUAGAUACCCGUGUAGUCCCA